rnacentral:rRNA from 1 species
UACGGAGGGUGCAAGCGUUAUCCGGAUUUACUGGGUUUAAAGGGUGCGUAGGUGGUUUGAUAAGUCAGUGGUGAAAUCCCCGAGCUUAACUUGGGAACUGCCAUUGAUACUAUUGAUCUUGAAUACCGUGGAGGUCAGCGGAAUAUGUCAUGUAGCGGUGAAAUGCUUAGAUAUGACAUAGAACACCAAUUGCGAAGGCAGCUGGCUACGCGAAUAUUGACACUGAUGCACGAAAGCGUGGGGAUCAAACAGG